UAAUACCCGCAGUUCAAGUGGUGGCCACUAUUAUUGGGCCUAAAACGUCCGUAGCCGGUUCAGUAAAUGCCUGGGUAAAUUGUGUAGCUUAACUAUACGAAUAUCGGGUAGACUGCUAAACUUGAGACCGGGAAAGGCUAGGGGUACUCCUAGGGUAGAGGUGAAAUUCUGUAAUCCUAGGGGGACCACCAGUGGCGAAGGCGUCUAGCCAGAACGGGUCUGACGGUGAGGGACGAAGCCCUGGGUCACAAACCGGAUUAGAUACCCGGGUAGUCCAGGGUGUAAACGCUGCUCGCUUGAUGUUAGUUGGGCUCCGAGCCCAACUAGUGUCGGAGAGAAGUUGUUAAGCGAGCUGCCUGGGAAGUACGGUCGCAAGGCUG
rnacentral:rRNA from 1 species